rnacentral:rRNA from 1 species
CACUGCGCCGAAAAUGUACCGGGGCUAAACAUAUUACCGAAGCUGUGGAUUGUCCUUUGGACAAUGGUAGGAGAGCGUUCUAAGGGCGUUGAAGCAUGAUCGUAAGGACAUGUGGAGCGCUUAGAAGUGAGAAUGCCGGUGUGAGUAGCGAAAGACGGGUGAGAAUCCCGUCCACCGAUUGACUAAGGUUUCCAGAGGAAGGCUCGUCCGCUCUGGGUUAGUCGGGUCCUAAGCUGAGGCCGACAGGCGUAGGCGAUGGAUAACAGGUUGAUAUUCCUGUACCACCUAUAAUCGUUUUAAUCGAUGGGGGGACGCAGUAGGAUAGGCGAAGCGUGCGAUUGGAUUGCACGUCUAAGCAGUAAGGCUGAGUAUUAGGCAAAUCCGGUACUCGUUAAGGCUGAGCUGUGAUGGGGAGAAGACAUUGUGUCUUCGAGUCGUUGAUUUCACACUGCCGAGAAAAGCCUCUAGAUAGAAAAUAGGUGCCCGUACCGCAAACCGACACAGGUAGUCAAGAUGAGAAUUCUAAGGUGAGCGAGCGAACUCUCGUUAAGGAACUCGGCAAAAUGACCCCGUAACUUCGGGAGAAGGGGUGCUCUUUAGGGUUAACGCCCAGAAGAGCCGCAGUGAAUAGGCCCAAGCGACUGUUUAUCAAAAACACAGGUCUCUGCUAAACCGUAAGGUGAUGUAUAGGGGCUGACGCCUGCCCGGUGCUGGAAGGUUAAGAGGAGUGGUUAGCUUCUGCGAAGCUACGAAUCGAAGCCCCAGUAAACGGCGGCCGUAACUAUAACGGUCCUAAGGUAGCGAAAUUCCUUGUCGGGUAAGUUCCGACCCGCACGAAAGGCGUAACGAUUUGGGCACUGUCUCAACGAGAGACUCGGUGAAAUCAUAGUACCUGUGAAGAUGCAGGUUACCCGCGACAGGACGGAAAGACCCCGUGGAGCUUUACUGUAGCCUGAUAUUGAAAUUCGGCACAGCUUGUACAGGAUAGGUAGGAGCCUUUGAAACGUGAGCGCUAGCUUACGUGGAGGCGCUGGUGGGAUACUACCCUAGCUGUGUUGGCUUUCUAACCCGCACCACUUAUCGUGGUGGGAGACAGUGUCAGGCGGGCAGUUUGACUGGGGCGGUCGCCUCCUAAAAGGUAACGGAGGCGCUCAAAGGUUCCCUCAGAAUGGUUGGAAAUCAUUCAUAGAGUGUAAAGGCAUAAGGGAGCUUGACUGCGAGACCUACAAGUCGAGCAGGGUCGAAAGACGGACUUAGUGAUCCGGUGGUUCCGCUUGGAAGGGCCAUCGCUCAACGGAUAAAAGCUACCCCGGGGAUAACAGGCUUAUCUCCCCCAAGAGUUCACAUCGACGGGGAGGUUUGGCACCUCGAUGUCGGCUCAUCGCAUCCUGGGGCUGUAGUCGGUCCCAAGGGUUGGGCUGUUCGCCCAUUAAAGCGGUACGCGAGCUGGUUUCAGAACGUCGUGAGACAGUUCGGUCCCUAUCCGUCGUGGGCGUAGGAAAUUUGAGAGGAGCUGUCCUUAGUACGAGAGGACCGGGAUGGACAUACCUCUGGUGUACCAGUUGUCGUGCCAACGGCGUAGCUGGGUAGCUAUGUGUGGACGGGAUAAGUGCUGAAAGCAUCUAAGCAUGAAGCCCCCCUCAAGAUGAGAUUUCCCAACUUCGGUUAUAAGAUCCCUUAAAGAUGAUGAGGUUAAUAGGUUCGAGGUGGAAGCAUGGUGACAUGUGGAGCUGACGAAUACUAAUCGAUCGAAGACUUAAUCAA